AGGCAGCAGUGGGGAAUCUUGCGCAAUGGGCGAAAGCCUGACGCAGCGACGCCGCGUGGGGGAUGAAGCUUUUCGGAGUGUAAACCCCUUUCGACCCGGACGAAUGCCCGCAAGGGAGUGACGGUACGGGUAGAAGAAGCCCCGGCUAACUACGUGCCAGCAGCCGCGGUAAGACGUAGGGGGCCAGCGUUGUUCGGAAUUACUGGGUGUAAAGGGUUCGUAGGCGGUGUGGCAAGUCGGGAGUGAAAUCUCUGGGCUCAACUCAGAGGCUGCUUCCGAAACUGCUGUGCUUGAGUGUGGGAGAGGCGCGUGGAAUUGCAGGUGUAGCGGUGAAAUGCGUAGAUAUCUGCAGGAACACCCGUGGCGAAAGCGGCGCGCUGGACCACUACUGACGCUGAGGAACGAAAGCUAGGGGAGCAAACAGGAUUAGAUACCCUGGUAGUCCUAGCCCUAAACGAUCAGGACUUGGGGUGCCACCCGUUCGGGUGUCGUCCCGGAGCUAACGCGUUAAGUCCUGCACCUGGGGAGUACGGUCGCAAGACUGAAACUCAAAGGAAUUGACGGGGGCCCGCACAAGCGGUGGAACAUGUGGUUCAAUUCGACGCUACGCGAGUAACCUUACCUGGGCUCGAAAUGCUGGUGACCAGCUGUAGAAAUACGGCCUUUCCGCAAGGAACACCAGUAUAGGCGCUGCAUGGCUGUCGUCAGCUCGUGCCGUGAGGUGUUGGGUUAAGUCCCGCAACGAGCGCAACCC
rnacentral:rRNA from 1 species